rnacentral:lncRNA from 1 species
GAAUUUUGGGGAGCACCACAGGGCAGGGCCUGUGGCUGUCUGAGGGCGGCAUCACAGGCAUGCUGAGGUCUGGGGCUGGAGGAACCCUGGACAGAACAAGGAGUAGGGGAAUGACAGACAGAGCAAGCCAGCCAUGUGGAGCGCACGGGGCCAGGACAUCAACCUCCUCCUGCCGGUUUAGCAGGAGUGGCCAUGGGGGUAUGAGGGUUCAAACCUGGCUGCCUCCAGCUCACAGAAGACAGUGUCUGCUGUCUGGAGAGCCUGUUCCUGGU